rnacentral:rRNA from 1 species
UACAGAGGGUGCAAGCGUUGUCCGGAUUUAUUGGGUUUAAAGGGUGCGUAGGCGGCUUGAUAAGUCCGUGGUGAAAGCCAACAGCUCAACUGUUGAACUGCCAUGGAUACUGUCAGGCUUGAGUACAGACGAGGUAGGCGGAAUUGAUGGUGUAGCGGUGAAAUGCAUAGAUACCAUCAAGAACACCGAUUGCGAAGGCAGCUUACUAGGCUGUAACUGACGCUGAGGCACGAAAGCGUGGGGAGCGAACAGG